CAAAUCAUAAAGUAAAUAGUCACACACAAUGAUUUGAAAGACGAUAUCACUUCAGAUUUCGUAGGGUCAGAGCACGGUUGCUUCAAAUUUAGCCCUUUCAAUGUCUCGCAGCUGUUGAUUUUUAGGGUGACUAUUUGUCCAGGUUAGAGCCGCUUUAUAGGUGCUCUGUCCUGGACUUUGUGGGUUGUGGGGAAAUGAACUCCUUAUUAUGAGUCAUAAAACCCGUGUUGUGGCUCUCACUCAGCCGCAAAUAGUUUGCAGUUGCAGAAUAUCUGGCUCCAAUUACAACUGUAGUAAACAAUUCUUCACUUUUUGGGUUUGAUUUUAGGGCCUGUGUGUUAGCCAUUUACGCGCCAAAAUUUGAAAGUAAAUAAGCUUUUUUAAAUAGAUCAAUUAUUACAGCAUGGAAAUGGGAUUGGUGCGAUGCUCAAUACUUUGCGCUACCUCAUCCAAUACUUGCAAUGCUGUUGCCGAAGAUCGAGAGAAUAACACUUGUAAUUGGGUUAAGUUUGUGGACAAAGUCUCUUGUUUCAAACAAUUCCCCUUGAAAUCUGGUGGAAGCAAGCUUUUAAUGGGAGAUCAUAACCUGGUAUCAAUGAUCAAGGGGUAAUAUUUAGCUUUCCCAAGUGAAAACAUUGGACUGGCAGUGGAAAAUUUGGAUAGUAGCGGCGUCAUUCCCACAAUUCCCAUUCCUAACCUACCAAAGCCGGAUGUUGGACCGUUUGGGAUUGUCACGAAGUAUAAAAAAGGCUUUUUGGCUUGUCUUGGAUGGAACAUGGACUGUCACUAUUGGGAUAUAGCUACCUCAAUUUGGGACACUUUCCCUCCCUUAUCCGAACCGCAUGCAACUGGAGGAUUGGUGGUGGUUGAUUUUGGUCCUAUGGCAAUCGGCGGAAAAAACUUAUUAGAUCACUAUACAAACAGUGUCGAAGUGUACAACGAAACUAUCGGUUUAUGGGAACCUCACGUGGAUCUACCCAUAGCCCUUUCUGGCAUUGUGGCUCAUGCUAUUAACCCGAAAACCAUCAUUGUUAGUGGCGGUUUGGGAGAAAAUUUUAGCAAGGUAUUCAAACUCGUCGAAGGAGAUUCUAUGUGGACCAAAUUGGAAGAUCUACCUUUCUUGAUCUUCUUUCAAACGUCGCUCUUCCUCACACUACCGGAACUUGGAACAGGAAUUCUAGCGAUUGGUGGGUAUACACGAGCGACUCCAGGUGAUCCAGACCAAGCCACUAGGAAGGCCUACUUUUGGGACAUCACCGUGGAGACCUGGGAAUUGGUUGAACAAUAUAAUUGGCCAACGGGAAAUUACUUUGCAGACGGUAUAAUGUACCGUUUUGGGAAUAAGUUGAUUGCCUCACCUUUUUUUGAGCGCGCAAAUGGAACGAAUUAUAAGC